UUACAGUCAUAUCAUGUUGAAACAUCAGUUCCCAUAUAGUCACUGGAGUUAAGCAACAUUGAGCCUGGUCAGUACCUAGAUGGGGGACCAGUUGGGAAUACCAGCUGCUGCAAG